GGAAGUGGGCCCCUUCUCUCUUCCUCCAGAGUAACCAUGUGAUCCCUGAAUGAGGACACCAAUGGAAGGCAUCCUAAAUAAGAUAAGUCUUAUAAAAUAUAUAGAAUUAUGAUAAUUAAGACUGAGCUAACAGAUGAGAAAUCCUAGUCAUUGGCCAAGCAGCAUUUGUACCUAAUAGAAGUCUCUGUAUAUUAUUUGGGGCCCUAAUGUAGUGAGUGGAACUCAAGUGGGUGGUGAAAAGAUUUAUCGUAACAUCUGUUGUCCUGUAUCAUGGAGAUCCUGCAGUUUUGGUCCUGUAGGUUCAUCCCACUCACCUGCUUCAACAGUUCAUAGAUGAGGUGGAUGUUGGGGUGGGUAACUUGGCCCUGGUUCUGGACUUGAGUGGUAGCUGGGUAGGUCAGCCGGCCAGCUUUCCCUCAUCUUCACUACCCAGACAAGCUCUCCAGCACUGCCUGGGUUAGCUCUCACAAUGCAGCCUGCAGCAAGGGGCAGGGCCAGUUCUCCUGCUCCCAGGUCCACAGACCCAGGUCAUCCACACUCACACCACUAGGGCCAGCUCUACUGUUUUGCCCAGGCAAGGUGCAGGGCCCUCUCUCCUGAUUGCUGUAAGGGGGUAUUCAAGGUGUGUGUGGGUGUGAGGGAAGGGGUUGGUUGGGGUAGGAUGGGUAGGGUGUUAGCUCUCCUGCUCUCUUGCCUUCAGAGUUGGCUCACCUGAGGCCAGUGUGCUGCCCAGGUGGGGUACAGGGCACACACUCCUGUGUGCUGCAUCUGGUGAGGGGCAGGGCUAGUUUUCUCACUCUUGUGACCUUGGGGACACUCAGUCAAUGAUCAGGGAAGACAUUAAUACAAUGAUCAGGAAAGACAUUAAUAUCCCCACACAGAAUUAAAGAAUCUGAGCCUUCUAGGUAUGUAACAGCUGGAAAGUUUGGAGCCACCACUGGUUAAAACAUCACACAGACUCCCUUUUUUGAGUGUCCAGAGGUGAAGCCAUCUUCAUGCUGACAUGAUCUAGCUGCACCGGAUGCCUCUCUGCUAUACUUCUGCCUCCUUUCAGAAGGCUGGCUUCAUUUUCAGCCUAGUAGUGGCAUAGCUGUUGGUUUCCGGGCUUCAAAUCUAUAAUCAGUAAUGCCUGAGGUGGAGACCUGUUCUUUCUGUUGCUUACUCUUGCAAACUAGGACACCUUCCUUAGAAGCCCUUGGUAAAUCUCUCCUCAUUCAUCACUAUCCAGCAUAAUUCAUGGAUUGUUUCCAAACCAUAAUGGGCUAGGGACACAGAAUUGCCUAUAGGCUGGCAUACAUGGAUAUACUGCCUGUAGGUGACUCUGGAUACAUGGGCUUCUGUCUGCAAAGACAAAAGGGGGAGUGAAAGUAAAUGCAGAAGACUAGGGCCCUGGGAAGACAGAGUCAAGAGUGUGAGCCAAGACUUGCAGCUAAACAGGGGUUUCUCUAAGCCCAAGUAUGGUCCUCUGUUAAAGCUUUACUGAGAUGCAAGAGCUGGAAAGGGAGCUCAGGAUUACCAUGUAGCCCUGUAGACAAGAUAAUGGACCCAGGCUACUACUAUGCUUUUCAUACUGUGACUCAAUUGGCUCUGCUUUUCAGUAGAUGAGGAUGCUUGCUUUGGCUUUUAUGGGGCAAGGAAUAUUUUUUAAUAAAUUAUUCUGGAAGUAUUAAUUUAUACAUAGGUUUUGUAUGAUUGAUGUUAGAGAGAUUUCUUUAAAACCCACAAAUCCUUCAAAAGUAUUUUUUUUUAAUUUUAAGAUGUUUCAAAUAAUAACAAAGUUCCCAUCCUAGAACGUUCAUCCAGUAGCUGAUGGAAGCAGAAGCAGACACCCACAGCUAAGCACUGAGCUGAAUUCCUGGAAUCCAGUUGUAGAGAGGGAGGAGUGAUGAGCAAAGGGAUCAAGACCAGGCUGGAGAAACCCAUAGAAACAGCUGACCUGAACAAUUGGCCCCAGACUGAUAGCUGGAAAACAAGCAUAGGAUAAAACCAGGCCCCCUGAAUGUGGAUGUCAGUAAGUGUCCCGCGUGAUAGUCUUGCCGGCAAGAACCACACAGGACAUUCGGAUCCUUCUGCAGUAAAGCUUUAAUGCGUCUUGAGAGGAGAGCAUAAGCUUACCAGAGCGGAGACCCCGAGCCAAGAAUCCCGUCCCCUAAUAAAGGCUGGCAACCGCCGCCUGGGACGUGUUACCCCAUGAUUGGCUGUAGCUCAUCGGACCAUAUGACGUCACGGAAUAGGCAGAGAUCAAGGAAUGGAAAGUUACCCAGCGCCUGCGCGCAUUAACUUGUUUACAUUCAAUGCCUGCCGGAUGCAGGCGCCAUCUUGUAAUGGAGAAUGCAGGGACGGCUCCCUACAAGUAAGGAGGCCUGGGCAAUCUGUGGGGCCUCUGGUAGUGUAUCAGUAUACAAAUGGACUUUGGGAACCCAUUCCCCAUAGAGGAAUACUCUCUCAGCCUAGACACACGGGGGAGGGCCUAGGCCCUGCUCCAAAUGAUGGGACAGACUUUUGAUGAUUCCCCAAUGGAAGGCCUCACCCUCCCUGGGGAGUAGAAGGGGCAUGGGAUGGGGGGUCAGUGUGGGGCAUGGGAGGAUGGGAGGGAGAGGGAAUUGGGAUUGAUAUGUAAAAUACAUUGUUUCUAAAUUAAAUAAAAAAUAACAAAAAAGCUUUAGCAUUGUUCUUUAUUUGUAUUACUUUAA
rnacentral:lncRNA from 1 species